ACGUAGGGGGCAAGCGUUAUCCGGAAUUAUUGGGCGUAAAGAGUGCGUAGGUGGUUACCUAAGCAGGGGGUGAAAGGCACUGGCUUAACCAAUGUCAGCCCCCUGAACUGGGUACCUUGAGUGCAGGAGAGGAAAGCGGAAUUCCUAGUGUAGCGGUGAAAUGCGUAGAUAUUAGGAGGAACACCAGUGGCGAAGGCGGCUUUCUGGACUGUUACUGACACUGAGGCACGAAAGUGUGGGGAGCAAACAG
rnacentral:rRNA from 1 species